rnacentral:rRNA from 1 species
UACGUAGGUGGCAAGCGUUGUCCGGAAUUAUUGGGCGUAAAGCGCGCGCAGGCGGUCCUUUAAGUCUGAUGUGAAAGCCCACGGCUCAACCGUGGAGGGUCAUUGGAAACUGGGGGACUUGAGUGCAGGAGAGAAGAGUGGAAUUCCACGUGUAGCGGUGAAAUGCGUAGAGAUGUGGAGGAACACCAAGUGGCGAAGGCGC